rnacentral:lncRNA from 1 species
CUGGAGUGUGCAGGGUGCAGGAGGGGUGGGAGGUUGGGAGGUUUUGAAGCCCCGCUGGGGCCAUCCUUCACAUGGUCAGCCCUGCCCGGGGGUCCUGCGGGGUCCAGGGCGAGUUAAGGAAGCAGCUGUCACGGAGCUGGGUCUGAGAGUGAUCACAAGAUGACAUAGCUAAAAAAGCUUCACUUUAAGGAACAAUCUGACAGAGAGAGCCUCAGAUCGGCUGCAGCUGUUCCUGACCUGAUGACUUCUGGCUUCAUGGAAGGAGUUGUUUAUUGCUCACGAGUCAUGGACACACCCUAGGCAGCUGGGAGAUGCUUUAAGGAUCGGGCACGGUGUAGAUGGCCACCCCACAAAUCAGCUGGUAAUGCUGACCUUGGG